GCUGCUUCUUCGUCUACUUAGACACUUUCAUGAUGCCCAGUGACUGAUGAUGACCCUUAGGUUACGUGGAUCUGAUGGUACCUCACGUUUCCCUAAGUGACUAUGGCGGUGGAGUUAAAGUCACCAAAAAAGAACUAGAGCAAACACGAGAAUUUUGGAGGGAUGCUGCACCUUUCGAGGCUGAUGUGAAAGGAGUUGGUUGAGGAGACGGUGAAGAUGAAAGUUGUCCCGAGUUUCCCCAUGUGGUCUCCACAGUACGCAGAGGGCUCUGGUGGCACCAAAGCCGCCAUGGAACACCUGCUCCACCUGCCACACUCUUUAAAAGUUUACUAAGAUUAAAAGAAAGAAUGGCCCUAUUUCACAGGAGACAUUAAUGUCAUCAGUAAAUUCAUUCA
rnacentral:lncRNA from 12 species